rnacentral:misc_RNA from 1 species
AUGGGCAUGGUAACGUCCGGUAGCCUGGCUACAGAAAGUGUUGGGCCAUGCUAAACUGUACACGGUGUACCAGACUAUUGUGGAGACGGUGAGAUACGGCGUGAAAAUGGUGAAGACGCUGAAGAAGACGAGCUGUGACGUUCCUUCAACUUCCCUGAGGUUGGCACCUCCUCAGGGAAGACGCCUGCCUGUGUUUCACAGGCAGUGCGCAAACCAGCUGGUACACGCAGACUGUGUGCUCGUACUCGGAGAACAAAGGUUCCAGCGUGUUCCUUGUUCUCACUGGGAGGGUACUGGGGCCAGCGUGCCCUUCAGCUGGAUUAAUCUUGAGAAAAGAUGCACAGAUAACAUGAGAAAACAUGAGAUUAAACAGAGAGAAUAUGAACAGAAACUAAACAGGAAAUAUGACUUGAAACUGAGAGCAUAUGAGUAUAAUCACAGAGCAUACGAGUUUAACCUGAGAUACCACAUCGAUGAUACUGAGCCUAGAUGCAGUGACUAUCUUGUGCAGAGAAGAAGGGUGAGUGAACUGAAGAUGCGGAGAAUCAACAAAAUGACAAAGCAGAGAGUAAGUAAUCAGAAAGCAUUGAGAAGCUUGAAGGUAAGCAGACAAACAUGCUGUAGCAGAAGUCAGGUAUUGGAAAGUUAUGUAGAGUACUGUCAAGAGGCAAAGAAGGUUUCUAAACCAAAUAGAAAGAAAAUGAGAAGAAGCCAACGUAGACAGGCCUACCACAGAAUGAGGAAUGGUAAGAUGAUCGAAUUGCGCAUGAGUAAGGAGGACAGAAGAAACCAGAAGAAUGCCCAGAAGAAUUUACAAAGUCACACUAGAAGAAGUUUGAGUAAUGUCUUGAACAACAUGCCAGAUAAGGGAGACAAAUGCAUAGUGCAGAAACACAGCAGAUAUCAGUGUAAACCAUGGAGAUCACAAAAGAAGAGUAAAUUUGCAAAGAGAUCGAAUGUAAAUGAAAUUCAAGACAAGCAGUGCUGGUUGUGCGAUAGGAGUAUUAAGUCAUCUGAAAACAACGUGCAGUGUGAUGGCUGUGACAUUUGGUAUCAUGUGCAUUGUAUGAAUUUCUCAAAGAUGAAACAGCUGUUGAGCAACAAAGCUGUGACAUGGUUGUGCAGAAAAUGUGGGAGGAGUACUUAUUCUGAGUCUCUGUUAUGUAAUCUUGGUAUUCCAACAGAUGAUAACAUGUAUGAGUUGACAGUUCAGGAGACAUGCACCGAUGAUGUGGUCAGAGAGAGGUCCGUGAAUGGAAUGUGCAGGAAGGACAGCAACAAAGACAAUCAGAGAAAAAAUAAACCAGCAAGGUUGCCAAGUCAGUGAAGGAACAAGUCUGUUGAAACGUGUUGCUACUUGGCAAGAUGUACACAGAAUUUGUGCAUGUGUGGUGUAAACGUCAUUGAAGAGAAGACAACCCUCUUGUUGGAAACUGACCAUUGGAAAUAUUUGCACAGUUAUGUUUUUAAAGCCCAUUUAUAGCAUUACUAUGAUGUGAAGGACAACUAAUCAUCUGUCAACCAUGCCCGAGUUCAAUCAGCCACCUCUUGCAUCACUGUGAUGUCACAGGCUACUAAUCACAGUCUGUCAUCCAAGCCCAAGUACUGUCAGUCAUCUCUUGUACUGUACCACUAUGUGUGAGGCUACAUAUCACCUGUCAACCUAGUCUUGAGCUCUGUCGGCCACAUGUUGCAUCACUGUAUUUAUUUAAAUCCUGCUAAUCACCUGCCAUCCAUCAUGAAUACUGUGAGCCAUCACUUGCAUCACCCGCCAUUCAAGGCUGAGUUCUGUGAGUUAACUUGUGCAUCACUAUGAUGUCAAAGUGAUGUCAAAGGCUGUUAUUACCCGCCAUACAUCACCAAGUUCUGCAAGUCACCUCGUUCAUCACCGUGAUGUCAAAGGCUACUAAUCACUUGUCAUCCAAGCCAAACUUCUCUAUGUCACCUCUUACAUUACUCAAAUGUCAAAUACUCAAAUGCUUCUGAUGACCAGGAUGACUUGUCAUCCAAGGACGAGUUCUGUGAUGUCAAGACUGUAUAUUUGUUGUCCAAGCCUUUGUCUUGUCAUCAAACUCUUGUAUAAACAUGUGAUGGUAAAGGCUUUUAUCAAUUGUUCAACAGGCCUAAUUUCUGUCAGCCACCUCAUUUAUCAGCAUGAUGUUAAACGCUUUUGAUUUGUAAUCCAAUUUGGAGUACAUCCUUACAUUUAGUCCAGUGUAUGUGUUGAAAAUCAUUUCACACUUGUAGAGUUUAACACUGUGAGGCUUCCAAUGUCCACAUUUUUCGUAGAAUAUGUCAGUUACACUGCAAAGUGCCAUAUCUGUGGUGUGUUCAUUGAUCAUCAUACAGAUACUGUUGUAUGACAGCUUUGAAUAUGGAUGUUAAUUUGUAAACUAAACAGUACAUUUCCUUUGAGGGAAACAUUUGGGAAAAGAAGCAGCUUAUAUUCAUAUGUUUUCUAAAUGCAACUUAGUCUAAUCAAAACUUUUCAUAUAAAAGGUAUAAGUUAAUGUUCAGAUAUUUGUUCAACAAAAGCUGUGUACAUCCAACAUUGGAAUAUUGUUUUAUUUGUUAAUAUAUAUUUAUAUACAUUUGUUUGUAUUUUUUUCUGUGGAAGUCAGAGGAAAAUAAAUAUUAAUUGAAAUGAGUUGCA